GCGGGCGUGGCGAAAUCGGUAGACGCAGCGGGUUGAGAGCCCGCGGCAUUCGUUCCUUCCAGGUUCGAGCCCUGGCGCCCGCA
rnacentral:tRNA from 1 species